rnacentral:tRNA from 1 species
GGACGUGGCUCAAUCGGUAGAGUGCUUGCCUGGCAUGCAUGAAGCUUGGGGUUCAAUCCUCAGCACUG